AUUUCCGUAGGUGAACCUGCGGAAGGAUCAUUAUUGUAUAACCGAGGUGCGAGGGCUGUCGCUGACCCGAAAGGUCGUGCACGCCCGAGUGCCCUCACACACAUCCAUCUCACCCCUAUGUGCACCACCGCGUGGGUCCCCCUUUGGCUUGUUCGGAGGGGGGCUUACGUUUUCACACAAACUUUGUAUGCAGUGUAGAAUGUAUUUUUUGUUUUUGCGAUCACGCAAUCAAUACAACUUUCAACAACGGAUCUCUUGGCUCUCGCAUCGAUGAAGAAAGCAGC
rnacentral:misc_RNA from 1 species